AAGAUUCAAGCGUUUGCCGUUUUUUAGCACAUUUUGGCACAUACACAACAGCUGUUAGUUAACAGACGUUCGCUGUUAUCACUGGAUGCUUUUAACAGUAUAAACUGAAACCAAAAUGUGACUUAUAUUUUGUUGAAAAUUUGGUUACUAACGUGCUAAAAUAUUAAAAACAUUAUAAAUCCACAUCCAUAUUAUAAAAACAUAAAUUCACAAGUCUUAAUUAAGCUACCUUACAUGGAAAUAUGUCCUAGUGUCACAUGAAAGGGUAAAGGUAGGAUUGAAUAGGUUGGUUCGGGGGUUAUCACAUUCUGAUAAGGUGCUUGCACCUAUACGUGAUCAAAAAAAUUUUACUUAAAUUAUGUUGAAUAUUUGGCUACUAACGUGCUAAAAUAUUAAAAACAUUAUAAAUCCACAUCCAUAUUAUUAAAACAAAAAUUCACAAAUGCUUCUUAAGCUACCUUGCAUGGAAAUAUUUCCAAGUGUCACAUUAAUAGGUCAAAGAAGGAUUUCGUUCGGGGUUAUCACAUUCUGAUAAGGCACCUGUGCGUGAUCAAGAGGUGUAUAGCAGACGGUCUUUGAAAUCACCAUCCAGUUUCAAAAUAAAAAUCAAUAUGAAAUUACUGAUCGUCCUGUUCGCCUUGAUAGCAGUUGCUUAUGCGCGCUAUUAUUACAGCUAUGAAUCUGAAAGUUAUGAGAGUGGCAGCUACGAAGUUUGUUAUUGUUAUUACCGAGGGAGGAGGGAUGUACACAAAAUUCGAAAGCGGUGCGCUUCAAGCCGUUGCAAUCCAUUUGGGUAGGAGGGUAAAGUACACAAGAAUAUUCAAAGAAAAUACGUACAUAUUUUAUGUGUUCAAAAAAUUGUAUUUGUACAUAUCUUUGAUCCUAAUAAAUAUGUUAUAUUUGAGUUUUUAAA